UCUUUUAGGAACAGAUUGAUUUCCCAAUUGGUAGUGCCAAAUUGGCGAAAUACGCCAAGGAGAAGGAAAUAAUUGCCGAGAGGACAAGAAAAAAGGUUGAUUACGUACAGAAAUCAAAAGAAAAAACUAGAAGAUGAAAUGUGUUUUUUGUGGAUUCCUUUGUAUGAUAACACGACGCACGUUCUAGGAAAUUUCCUCCCUCACGUCUGAUAGUGAGAUAGACUCUGUUUACGUACUAUCAUCAAAUCGGAUAUAAUUCCAUUCUAUAUAUAAGAUUAAGAUGAUGAUUAUGAUGAUGUGUAAGUAGGUUUUACUGAUAACUAUCUUAAUCUCCUUUAACCCUACGCAUGCACAUUACAUAACCUCACUUCUAAUCACUUGUUCAUUACAACUCUAGCUCAUGUAGUCUCUCUCUCCCUCCCUCCCUCCCUCCUCUCUCUCUCUCUCUCUAUCUAUCUCUCCCUCUCUCUCUCUGUCUCUCCCCCUCCCCCCCUCUCUCUCUCUCCCUCCCCCUCUCUCUCUCCCUCCCCCCCUCUCUCUCUCUCGAAGAUGUUUCGUAAAGAAUUAGCCGCCUCCAAAUCACUCAACCGCAGCUCCGCGGCUGGAGUACUGAGAGGAGAGUCUAAUUCAGAAUCGCAUGUCCGUCGUGAAUGUGGAGGGCCUGUCACGAUUCCGAAGAAACUACCACGUCAGGCUAGUCCGCCAAGAAGUACAAACAAGAAGCUGACAAAAUUACUGAUAAACGUCAAUAUUCAGAGGAGUUUCGGACCGGUACAUAUAAUCAUAUCGAUCGAAAACACCGUGGGAGAUUUGAUAAAGGCCGCAAUUGAGGUCUACUUGAAGGAGAAAAGACGCCCUUUGUUAACGCACUCGGAUGCUCGUUGUUAUGAUCUUCAUUACUCCCAGUUCAGCUUAGUAUAUCUUAUUUUUCAGAUAUAAUUCACUUAUAUUUGAAAAAGUACGUAAAUAUGUACUUUUAUUUGAUUCUCUUGAUUAGUUCUUUUCUCUGUGGCAUUGUACAUAAGCCCUGAUAUCCAUGGAGGAACUGAAAAAUAUGCAUUAAUUUCAUUAUCAAUGGAUCUUUAUCUUCUUGAGUUGCUAUUUUGAUUCUGAUUUUUACGUCUGCAGCCACACAUUGGUUUAGGCUCACAUGAGAGUGCAUGGUUCUCGUGGUGGUUGUCUACUGAGUGGUGUGUAUAAACCACGGUUUAGGCUCGAAUGAGAGUGCAUGGUCCCUGUAGUUUUGUCCUUUCACGCUUGAAGCCAGAGGAGAAGUUAACAAACUUGGAGUCAAGAAACUUCUUUCUUUGCCCAAAGCCAAACAACAUCAACAGCAACACUACUUCUGCUGCUAGCAAAACAUCUUGUUCCAAUGAAGCAAACACAACAGUAGCUGAUACUCAUGCCGAAGAUUUACAGUUUCCUUGUACUAGAUUCAUGGAUUUCUUGCUAUGAAUCAGACACCAUCUUCACUAUCUACCAUUUUCUUUACUAGAUGGAUGCAUUUCUUGCUCUGAAUUGGCAUCAUUUUCGGCAUUUCGAAAUUUCCAAACCUCAGGAAACUAGAGCCUAAAGUACUUUGAUUUCCUUUGUUUCAUAAUUCAGUAUGAAAAUAGUUGGUCUGUAAUAUGAUUAACAAGUCUGCAGUUUGUACUAAGCCCUGUAUUUUUCAAUGAUUUGUAACAGAGGUGUCUGUUGUUUA